AUUGCCUCUCGAAUAACCGGACGGAGCAUGUAUACACAGUUGUCGUUCGGUCCAGACAAAGGCACAAAAUGAGAGAGAGACUCUCUCCGAAUCAAUUUGAGGAUAAGGAACUGUUCCAUUUCUCUAUUCCUUUCCUAGAUUGCUUCGGAUAUAU